GACGAACCGUGCGAACGUUGUUCGGAAUCACUGGGCUUAAAGGGCGCGUAGGCGGACUGCCAAGUCCGGGGUGAAAUCCUCCGGCUUAACCGGAGAAUUGCCUGGGAUACUGGCGGUCUUGAGGGAGGUAGGGGCACGCGGAACUUCCGGUGGAGCGGUGAAAUGCGUUGAUAUCGGAAGGAACGCCGGUGGCGAAAGCGGCGUGCUGGCCCUCUCUGACGCUGAGGCGCGAAAGCCAGGGGAGCGAACGGG
rnacentral:rRNA from 1 species